rnacentral:rRNA from 1 species
UACGGAGGGGGCUAGCGUUGUUCGGAAUUACUGGGCGUAAAGCGCACGUAGGCGGCUUUGUAAGUUAGAGGUGAAAGCCUGGAGCUCAACUCCAGAACUGCCUUUAAGACUGCAUCGCUUGAAUCCAGGAGAGGUGAGUGGAAUUCCGAGUGUAGAGGUGAAAUUCGUAGAUAUUCGGAAGAACACCGGUGGCGAAGGCGGCUCACUGGCUCGUAUCUGACGCUCAGGCGCGAUAGCGUGGGGAUCAAACAGG